UACAGAGGUCUCAAGCGUUGUUCGGAUUCAUUGGGCGUAAAGGGUGCGUAGGUGGCGCUGUAAGUCGGGUGUGAAAUUUCGGAGCUUAACUCCGAAACUGCAUUCGAUACUGCGGUGCUUGAGGACUGGAGAGGAGACUGGAAUUCAUGGUGUAGCAGUGAAAUGCGUAGAUAUCCGGAGGAACACCAGCGGCGAAGGCGGCAUCCUGGACUGGUCCUGACACUCAUGAGCGAAAGCGUGGGGAGCGAUCCGG
rnacentral:rRNA from 1 species